ACGAACGCUGGCGGCGUGCUUAACCCCUGCAAGUCGAACGGAAAGGCCCCUUUGGGGGUACUCGAGUGGCGAACGGGUGAGUAACACGUGAGUAACCUGCCCUUGACUUCGGGAUAACUUCAGGAAACUGGGGCUAAUACCGGAUAGGAAUCCUUGCUGCAUGGCGGGGGUUGGAAAGCUUCGGCGGUUUUGGAUGGACUCGCGGCUUAUCAGCUUGUUGGUGGGGUAGUGGCUUACCAAGGCUUUGACGGGUAGCCGGCCUGAGAGGGCGACCGGCCACAUUGGGACUGAGAUACGGCCCAGACUCCUACGGGAGGCAGCAGUGGGGAAUAUUGCACAAUGGGCGGAAGCCUGAUGCAGCAACGCCGCGUGCGGGAUGACGGCCUUCGGGUUGUAAACCGCUUUCAGCAGGGGCGAAGCUUGUGGUGACGGUACCUGCAGAAGAAGCACCGGCUAACUACGUG
rnacentral:rRNA from 1 species